AUGACCCAGAGAACCCGUUCUCUUCAAUUGUUCUGCUCGGUCGUAAGCACGCGCCCGUCGGCUAGGAUUCCAGCGACCAGCUCGUCACUUCCAUAUUGCCGAUCAUGCUCGUGGACCGAUGCUGCUACGCCGGCGGCCAUGAUAGUCCACCGCCCGUGCACCUGCAUCGUCUUCCUCGACGAGGCCUUCUCUCCUCCCGGGUCCCCUUCCUCUCCGCCGGCAGCCGCUGCUGCAUCUCGUCUUCUUCCGCGCCCCUUACUCAGCCAUGGCCGUGGACCGAGCGCGAUUCCGACGAGCUCCUCUUCUUCGGCAGGGCCGCUCGCGACCCUCGGGCGCCAUAUAGCUAGGGAAAUUACAGGUAGUAUUUCAAAAGCCACCAAUCAAUGGACUCUAUCAAUCAACCAAAAACAGAACAUUUCCGUCGACAACGUGGACAUACAACGAGGGUGCUACGAGGCGCGGCUGGAGGUUCGAGAACACGACGGCCAAGUCGACCAACGUCCGACGGUCUAG
rnacentral:rRNA from 1 species